UACAGAGGUCUCAAGCGUUGUUCGGAUUCAUUGGGCGUAAAGGGUGCGUAGGCGGCGCGGUAAGUCGGGUGUGAAAUCUCGGAGCUUAACUCCGAAACUGCAUUCGAUACUGCCGUGCUUGAGGACUGGAGAGGAGACUGGAAUUUACGGUGUAGCGGUGAAAUGCGUAGAUAUCAGGAGGAACACCGAUGGCGAAGGCAGGUCUCUGGGCCGAUACUGACGCUGAGGAGCGAAAGCGUGGGGAGCGAACAGG
rnacentral:rRNA from 1 species